rnacentral:pre_miRNA from 1 species
UAAUAGGAAAAUGACAAAUCUGAUUUUUCCUCCCGAUUUUUAGUAUUUCUAAUUGAAUUUGAAAAAAUAGGAAAAAGUUGAAAAUCAGGAGAAAAAAAUCUGAUUUGUCAUUCUUCUAUU